rnacentral:lncRNA from 1 species
GUGUGAGCCCUUCCCAGGAUCACGCCCAGUGCAGCCUCUUCCCAAGUUCAUGUCACUGGGUCACAAGAGAUGGAAUCUAAGCGAGAUGAGAGGGACUGAAGGAAGGCAUGGGUGAGUGUGAGCAAACCUGUCAGGCAGGAUGCUUCAGACUCAGAGAAGAUUCUCAACUCCAGCACCCGGCAUUUCAGGAAGAAAUAAGAAACAGAACAAUCUACUGAGAAUAUCACUUUACCUGAACGGAGUCUCACUCUGUCACCCAGGCUGGAGUGCCGUGGCCCGAUCUCAGCUCACUGCAAGCUCCGCCUCCCGGGUUCACACCAUUCUCCUGCCUCAGCCUCCUGAGUAGCUGGGACUACAGGUGCCCGCCAACACGCCCAGUCUCACUCUUGUCACCCAGGCUGGAGUGCGGUGGCAUGAUCUCAGCUCACUACAACCUCCAUCUCGGCUCACUGCAACCUCCACCUCCUGGGUUCAAGUGACUCUCCUGCCUCAGCCUCCGGAGUAACUGGGAAUACAGGGAGGGGACUGGAAUAAAAUACCCACCUCCUCAAGAGCACAGUUUCCAAUGGGAGGAAUUUGGGACGGAAGAACACUGGGUGCCCUGAGAUAGGUCCCGGCCACCUCCCCCAACACAGGAUCCGGAGAAGCCGUGACUGCGAAAAGGCCUGGGGACAGAAGGGAACGGCCCAAGGAGGACUACGGCGGCAGGCAGAUCAGGGGUGGGGUCUGCAGAAUCCCCAGACCAGGCAGAGGACGCGGCCCCUCCCGAAUGGCGGCUGCGGCGCUGCGCCCCAGGGGCCGACAAGGACGAGGCUUGGGACCCGGAGGGCGUGGAUCCGCCUCGCAGGCGGGGACUUUACGUGGCGCGGGGCUGGCGGAGGGGUCACUGAAGGGUUUUAAGCAGGAAAACGGCGCGAAAGCAGCUGCCUACGCAGCCCUACGGCAGAACGACCGGAGACAGAACCAGCCCUAGGGCGAUUUUAACACUCUGACGGGACGCAUGAAUUUACUCGGGGUGGAGAGAGCGGUGCGGGGAUUUCAAGGUCUGUACCGCCCCCCACAUCCCGGGUACAGAAGCGUGAGGGCACCGCUAAGCGAACACUUAAUCUAAACAAAGGAAAACUCACGCGCCGCAGUUGCGCCAUAUCUCCACGCCAUCCACUUCCGGGUCUGCAGGCGGCUGCGCGCGAACGGAGAGGCCGGGCCGGGGCGUGGCCAGCGACGUGGCGGGCGGGGCCUGAAUACUUAUUGGACGGGGCCUGCACUUCCCUCCUCCUAUCUCUGGGCGUGUCUCGGUUUUCCGCGUUUUGCAAGCCACACUUGCCAGUCAGGCUGGAGCCGCUCCACGGUUUGUGACCUGGGAUCUCACUAGGAGGGUCAACGUCUGUUGUUUGGAUCCAGGAAAGUUCCCACAAUUAAAAUUAAGGAAUUCAAUUAAAAUUUAGAAAUUUAAUUGAAAAUCCCUUAAAUUGUCUGUGAAAGGAAUGCAAACUAAAAUACAAUAUGCAAACUCAACCUGUGCAGAAUGUGUAAUUUCACGCUGACGCCCCACAGAAUAGCAUAGAAAUCCUCUCCAUUUCUAUUCCCCAUUCACUCUGGAGUAGAGAGUUCCAAAGAGUUUCCUGGGCCACAUCUGGGGCGUGGAGUGCUAAGGCCGGUGAGAAGUCAGGUCACCAGCUAUUGCUUUUAAAAAAGCAAUAGAGGCCGGGCACGGUUGCUCACGCCUGUAAUCCCAGCACUUUGGGAGGCCGAGGCGGUCGUAUCACUGGAGGUCAGGAGUUCGACACCAGCCUGACCAAAAUGGAGAAACCCCGUCUCUACUAAAAAUACAAAAAUUAGCCGGGCGUGAUGGCACACGCCUAUAAUCCCAGCUACUUGGGAGGCUGAGGCUUAGGUCAAUAUUUUCUAAAAAUACUGUAAUUUCAGAUUCACUUUAGGUGCAUUCUGAAAGUAAUAAGUAAACAUACUUUUUAUUUUAAAAAUUAUAAUCUCUUAAAUCUUGUUUGUUUUCUCUUCUUCAAUGUACUGGCCCCUGUAGAUAACAAAGCCCUUAAAAUAGUCUUCAGAAGACAAUUGUAUUUAUUGAUCUAAAGAAUAACUCUGCAGUAAUUCUAAGUGUAUUUGGUAGGCCGAUUAUUCUUUUAUAGAACCCUGAUAGAAGUAAAACUAGAUUAUCAAAUUUUAAAUAGCCUUACGUCUGCCGGCAAUAAUUUUAUGGCAAUAUUUUUGAAUUAACAGGUACUAAUAAGUAUGCUUUUCUCUGAUAUCUCACCCCCCCAACUUUUUUUUUCUUAAGACAGAGUCUAACUCUGUCAUCCAAGCUGGAGUGCAAUGGCACGAUCUCAGCUCACUGCAACCUCCACCUCCUGGGUUCAAGCAAUUCUCCUGCCUCAGGCUCUCGAGUAGCUGGGAUUACAGGCGCGUGCCACCACGCCUGGCUAAUUUUUGGAUUUUUAGUAGAGAUGGGGUUUUGCCAUGUUGGCCAGGGUGGUCUCAAACUCCUGACCUCAGGUGAUCAUCUGCCCACCUUGGCCUGCAGAGUGCUGGGAUUACAGGCGUGAGCCACCGCACCCGGCCUUAUAUCCCUAUUUUUGGAUCCCUUCAUCCAUCUUGAAGUAUGAUCAUGUUUAGAUAUGAAAAUGAACAUAUUUAAAAUAUUAGCAGGUUAAAAUGAGGAUAUAGUGAUAUGUCACAAAGAUGGAUACGAGAUGACAUAUCAGCAUUUUUUAUUUUUAUUUUUUUCAGUUGGAGUCUCGCUCUGUUGCCCAGGCUGGUGUGCUGUGGCAUGGCCUCCACUCACUGCAACCUCUGCCUCCCGGGUUCAAGCAAUUCUCCUGCCUCAGCCUCCCGAGUAGCUGAGAUUACAGGCGCCUGCCACCAUGCCCAGCUAAUUUUUUGUAUUUUUAGUAGAGACGGGGUUUCACCAUGUUGGCCAGGCUGGUCUCGAACUCCCGACUUCGUGAUCCGCCCACCUUGGCCUCCCAAAGCACUGGGAUUACAGGCGCGAGCCACCGCACCCGGCCCAUAUCAGCAUAUUUUACUUCGAUUAUUAUUAUUAUUUUUUAGAGACAGGGUCUAACUGUGUUUUCCAGGCUGCAUAUGUACUCCUGGGCUCAAGACAUCCUCUUGCCUCAGCCACUUAAGUAGCUAGGACUCCAGGCACACUCCAUGGUGGCCUAGGUCAGCAUUAUUUUUUGAAGAUGCAGUAUCUGGGAUAGAUUUUGGGAUCUGUACAAGAUAGAUGUCUAUAUUACACAAUAUUGCUAAAUAGCUAUGUUGCCACGAAACAACUUUUAGCAUUGACUUUUAUGAUCUGAAGCAAAGAAAUGAGUUGAUUGCAGAGCUUUUCAUGAAACUAAAAAGUAGAGGAUAAGCUGAUUAUAGCUUAAAGUUAUAAACCCAUUAUGUAUAUGGGGAGUUUGUUGCUUCUAAAAUUUUCAAGGGAUCAGCAUGGACAUUUUUGGUUUUUGUUUUUUUUUGACAGGAUCUCGCUCUGUCACCCAGGCUGGAGUGCAGUGGCACAAUCUCGGCUCACUGCAACCUCCGCCUCCCAGGUUCAAGUGAUUCUCCUGCCUCAGCCUUCUGAGUAGCUGGGAUUACAGGCGCGUGCCACCACACUCAGCUAAGUUUUUGUAUUUUUAGCAGAGAUAGGGUUUCACCAUGUUGACCAGGCUGGUCCCAAACUCCUGACCUCAAGUGAUCCUCCUACCUCGGCCUCCCAAAGUGGGAUUACAGGUGUGAGCCACUGCACCUGGCCAACAAUUUUAUUGAUGAAUAAACAUUUAACAGGAAUAUCAUACGCAAUAGAGGCAAUCCGUUAGGAGAUAGGAAAAAGAAUAAUUUCUAUACAACCCAUUAUAGACUGGUUUUUGAGAUAAGCACUGAUUAGCCUCAAAAACUUGAUUGCGCUAUUGCUUAUACAUUGUUCAUCCUGACCUUACAUGGUAAUUGGGGAGACCAUCUAUGUUAGCCAAUUAGCUUUAUUCAGAAGCAGGGGGGAAAACCCUAACUUAUAUGUUUACAACAGGUGGUAGUUUUACAAAAUGGAGCCAGGUACCCACUGUAGAUAGGCUCCUACCAACCCACAGAAACAGAGAGAUACAGGUGCUAUCUCUAGUGAUGUUGACAUUUGAAAGAGAUGUCUCCCAAGUCCUUGAGAAAGAUAUCCCUAGGUCAUUAUGCUGACAAAAGGUUUAUUUAGUUUCUAAAAAUAAACAUUUCGGGAGAAAGUACUCACAAGUUUUCUAAGGUAAAUAUUCUGACAAAAAGAGGAGGAAGAGAAAUGCCUUGCCAUAUUUUCAAAGGAGGAAUGCAGGCUCUCAUUUUUAUUUCGUAUUUAUCCCUAUAAGGCAUGCAUAGAAUAUUCACCAGUGACCUUAAUAUUGGCCAAAAGAAAAUUUCAGCUAAUUCAAAAAAUUAGGCAGGGCACUGUGGCUCACGCCUGUAAUCCCAUACUUUGGGAGGCCAAGGCAGGUGGAUCACCUGAGGUCAGGAGUUCAAGACCACCAUGGUGAAACCCCAUCUCUACAAAAAAUACAAAAAUUAGCCAGGCGUGGUGGCGUGCGCCUGUAAUCCCAGCUACUAGGGAGGCUGAGGCAGGAGAAUCCCUUGAACCCAGGAGGCAGAGGUUGCAGUGAGCUGAGAACAUACCAUUGCACCCCAGCCUGG